GUUGAUACAGAAAUUAGUUGGAUUGAGAGAAAAAAAUGAUGGGUUUUUUGAUGAGAAAAGAUGUGAGGAAGCUACUCAAGAGGAAGGAUAGUGAUGCUGGUGAAAAAGGAAGAGCAUUGGAGGAGGCACGAGCAUCCUUGUUUAGCAAAUUACGAGCAUUUGGAGGUGGGAAGCGCCAACAAACUACCUUAUGGGGGCCUACUGUUGCAUUGACAUUCAAUUUUUUUGUUUCUGUUAGUAUUAUCUUGAUGAACAAAUUGGUUCUUGUUACAGUCGGAUUUAACUAUCCAAUUUUCCUCUCUUUCCUGCAUUAUGUCUGUAGCUGGUUGAUAAUGGCUAUUCUUAAUGCUCUCUCCAUCCUUUCCUUGUCUACACCAUCAAAAUCGACAAAAUAUUCAUCGUUGUUGUCUCUUGGUAUAGUUAUGUCACUUUCUACUGGGCUUGCAAAUGUGAGCUUGAAGUAUAAUAGUGUAGGAUUUUACCAGAUGGCAAAGAUUGC
rnacentral:misc_RNA from 1 species